ACCAAUUUGAUGCAGUGUCCAACGUAGGGUCUGAGCACUGACAUACUGACCCCCCACCCCUUCAACCUCUGCAGCAAAUGCUGGCAGCACUCAUACGUCAAUCUUACAAUGGGCUUUAAAAUGGUCUUUUCC